AAAAACUGGAAAUGACUCUGGGCCAUCAAAUGAAGAAUGGAGAACAAGAUCUUGUAUCACAGCCUGCAGGAGAGCAGCAGUGGGUACCGCAAGCCAAGCUGGUUUAGACAUGGCACCUGAAGGGGGAGGCUUAAGGGCUGGAUGUUUUGUUUCAUUGUUGUUUUUAGAAAGCAGCGAGUGUUUUCAUUUUCAAAGUUUACUUGUUCCAAAUUCAAAUUGUACUUAACAAAGUGAACAGUAACUAUGUAUACGAUUGAUUAUCUAAUCCAACUCCACAUGUGAGAAAGCCCAUUUUGUACAAACACAUCAUGUUUCAUUUGAGUAUAUUCACACUCAGUUCUUGAGCAGGAGUCUUUCUAUUAACUUCUAAUGCCUACUCUAUUUCUGCAGUGUUUCCUUCUAACAAGAAAGAAUUCAGAGUCCCUGGAGGUUCAAAAGCUGGUUGUCUGCCCCAAGGUUGGGAUAACAAAAAUUCUAUAAUUGGUGGGUUUACAUUUUUAAAGAGCACACUGUUGUCUUCGAUAAUGGGAUUAAAGGUCCUUAGUACCCUUAUGGCUCCUUGUUCCUGGGAUUUACAAAUCCUUUUAAAAAUAAAAGCCCACCAUCUGGCUUGACCAAAUGCCAGUCCAUCUGGUGUCCCUAUCACCCCAUCUUGAUAGGUUCCAGUUGGUGCCCUUAGGCAUUCUCUCCCCCCGCACCCCCCCACACCUCCCCCAACCUGUUCCUUUCUCCAGCUCAUCAGCCUUAUGGACUUCUUGUCUUCACAAAGAUAGUUUCCAGUGGUAUCCACCCUCCCCUAUCCUCUUCAUUCUGUACUGCACCUAUUUACAGAACUCCGGGAGCUACCCUUUGCUCUUCCUGAGAUAAGAACUGAGUCAGAUUAAGAUAUCCUCAACCCCAUAUGAGCCAAGCAGGGAUGGGAAAUGAGAUUUACUGGUAAAUAAACAGAAUGGGAGUGGUUUGGGCUCUGUGCUUGACCACCAUCAUCGUGAACUCUGUCCUCUUGUUCUCUUACCACAGAGUUGGUAAUUUGCAGACUCAGGAAAGAUUAGGGUGAGUACAGUAAAGAAGGAGACUCUUGGAAAGCCACUGCCCCUCAUAAACUGACUACAGUAACCCUUGAACUCUUCUGCCAGCCCUCUAUGGAAAAAAAUGUGGUACUUAAUCUUUGUUUUUGUCACAAUAAUUAGCCCAUUCAUUCUUUCUGGUUAUUCUGGAAAUAACCUUUACCUUCCAAUUGGAAGCUAUGAGAGAUUAAAAUAAAAGAAGAAAACACUUUCAAGGAAAAGAUACACACUUUACUCUCCUUGAUAUUGUUCUUUCAAAGACAUUUAUACUACGCUUCCAAAAUCUCCUAGGAAUCAUCUCUACAUUAGCUUCUCUCUUACUCCUGUUCUGCACUUUUCAAGAGCUAAAGUAGAUGUUUAAUGGCACCAAUACCUAUCAUAAUUCCUCACAGAAAAAUGUAAUGCUACAGUGUAUGAACAAACAGUGCCAACAAUCUGCCAAGAGCUAAAUUCUUGCUCAUUAGCUAGCACUAUCCAUCAGCAAUUGCUGAGAAGAUCACAUAGCUAUUCCUGGUUACUGGAGUGCCCACACGCUCACAGUCAGGACGGGAGUGAUCAUUUGAAAAUAAUCUUGAGACCUGUAAGAUC